GAGAGCCCAGUACGAUGAAAGUUGUAAGCUGUGUUCGGGGGGGAGUUAUUGUCUAUCGUUGGCCUCUAUGGUAGAACCCGUCGGGGAGGCCUGAGAGGCGGUGGUCUACCCUGU
rfam:Triticum aestivum genome assembly, contig: Triticum_aestivum_CS42_TGACv1_scaffold_436858_5DL